UCACACACACCGGGCACCGAGCAUUGUCCCAGUGAACGCAGAGGGCAUUUGUGAGCCAUGCCAAGGCUGGUGGUGGGCAGAUUGGCAUGGAGAGGAAGGAGCUGUGUGAAGGCAGGAUGUCAUAAAGGAGAAGCGAGAAGCUCCAAAUCCCUUUCCAGGGCCUUUGCUGUGGUCCUGAAAGCCCAACAUCUGAUUGAAGGCCUCCACCCAGAAGUGUGCGGGGUUGACUGGAAAUUGAGGCCAAGGGAUGUGAAGUGGCUUAUCCAAGAUCAUGUCACGAGAGUUUGGAGGUCAUGCUGUGCCAUUUGCUGAACCUGGGACCUCAGUCCUCCAUCAGGAAACAGGCUUCUUCAGACCAUCUGAUGCCCUCUUUACAUCCUCGUCCUCGGCACUGUCCGCCCAACAUGACCUCCUGCAAUGACGGAAGUGUAUUUGGGCUUGUGCUGUCCUUUAUG